GAGUAACUGUUGACAUCGUGACGGUAUCCAACCAGAAAGCCACGGCUAACUACGUGCCAGCAGCCGCGGUAAUACGUAGGUGGCAAGCGUUGUCCGGAUUUAUUGGGCGUAAAGCGAGCGCAGGCGGUUUUUUAGGUCUGAUGUGAAAGCCUUCGGCUUAACCGGAGAAGUGCAUCGGAAACCGGGAGACUUGAGUGCGGAAGAGGACAGUGGAACUCCAUGUGUAGCGGUGAAAUGCGUAGAUAUAUGGAAGAACACCAGUGGCGAAGGCGGCUGUCUGGUCUGCAACUGACGCUGAGGCUCGAAAGCAUGGGUAGCGAACAGGAUUAGAUACCCUGGUAGUCCAUGCCGUAAACGAUGAGUGCUAAGUGUUGGAGGGUUUCCGCCCUUCAGUGCUGCAGCUAACGCAUUAAGCACUCCGCCUGGGGAGUACGACCGCAAGGUUGAAACUCAAAGGAAUUGACGGGGGCCCGCACAAGCGGUGGAGCAUGUGGUUUAAUUCGAUGCUACGCGAAGAACCUUACCAGGUCUUGACAUCUUCUGCUAACCUAAGAGAUUAGGCGUUCCCUCCGGGGACGGAAUGACAGGUGGUGCAUGGUUGUCGUCAGCUCGUGUCGUGAGAUGUUGGGUUAAGUCCCGCAACGAGCGCAACCCUUAUUGUCAGUUGCCAGCAUUUAGUUGGGCACUCUGGCGAGACUGCCGGUGACAAACCGGAGGAAGGUGGGGAUGACGUCAAAUCAUCAUGCCCCUUAUGACCUGGGCUACACGCGUGAUACAAUGGACGGUACAACGAGUCGCGAAACCGCGAGGUCAAGCUAAUCUCUGAAAGCCGUUCUCAGUUCGGAUUGCAGGCUGCAACUCGCCUGCAUGAAGUUGGAAUCGCUAGUAAUCGUGGAUCAGCAUGCCACGGUGAAUACGUUCCCGGGCCUUGUACACACCGCCCGUCACACCAUGAGAGUUUGUAACACCCAAAGCCGGUGAGGUAACCUUCGGGAACCAGCCGUCUAAGGUGGGACAGAUGAUUAGGGUGAAGUCGUAACAAGGUAGCCGUAGGAGAACCUGCGGCUGGAUCACCUCCUUUCUAA
rnacentral:rRNA from 1 species